UACAUUAGAAUAAAACAUUGUUCUGCAAAAUUUCCCCAUUAAUAAAAUACAUGUAUGCGUUAAUAUUGUGUCUUAUUUCUCGUUUCAGCGGCCUUAGAUCAAAAUCUUUGUAAUGCAGAAUAAGGAUUUGUGUAGUUAUAGAUUAUUUCGAGCAUCAAAAAACACCAUGUUCCUUUGUUGACAAGAUAAUCAGCUCGAGUAAAUCUACAGUGACAAUGAUGAUUAUCCUUCUACUAGAGUCCAAUAUGAAUACUUAACACCUGGUUCCUGGCUUUACAGAAACAUAUCCAAAAGAAUAUUGUUUAAAAAACAGUGCAUCACCAAUACCUUGUUUGCACUUAAACUUGUUUUCUUCAAGAAGAAUUUACUUCUGUAAAGAAAGUUCUUACCAAGGCUGCUGUGAAAUAUUUAAAAAUAUCCUUCUGAAAACUUUGUUUGUGAACUACUCACAUACCUUUAGAAAACACAAAUGAAACUUGUAAAAAACGCUUGUAAAUUUAAGUGGAUUGGUCUACAAUGUGCACAUUUUCCAUAAGUAGUGAUAACAAGACCACAAUUAGACAAUAAGAAAUGUGCAUUUUGGAUAUGUUUUGGAAAUGUUGAUAGAGUUCUAAAAUGAUUUAGUAUGGACGUAAUAUAUAAUUGUUCUAAAACACUUUAUUAUACACGUAUACUAUAUAUUAAUAUGUUGUAUCGGAUCAUGUAUCUAUCACUUGCCAACAACACCCAUAUACAAUUAUUUUGUGGUUUGCUUUUACAUAUGAUUCUAAAUACUAACUAUAAAAUAAUUAUUUAUGGUAUUUAGAUCUCUCAUUAUAGACCAAUUCACUUUAAAGAAAGUAUGAUUAAAAUUGUUUUUAUUUUAAUAAGAUUAAAUUAUGUUCCGCUAUUUUAGAGUGAAAUAGUUAAACAUAUCACUAAAUAAUGACUAGCUUUUGGAAAAAAAAUCACUAUAUUGUUUGAACCAUAGCAAUUUUGAUGAGUUUAAGUUUGUUGAUUUACUACUUUUUAGUUACAAAAAGGGAAAGGAAAUAUGAAAGUUACAAUAUAACUAAAGUAAAAAGAGCAAUAGAGUAUAUGUUGCAUUUUACUAUUGGUUAAAUCUUAAUUAAAGGGACUCCACUGAGGUUAAAAAUUCUAAAAACAUAACAUUUCAAUUUCUUACAUGAAUGAACUGGAGCACUUUAAACAGAAAUAAAUGCAAAGAUAGUUAAGAAAUAUACAUUGAAAUAAAUUAAAAAUCGUAUGUUUAUGCUUUUCUUGGCCCGAUUUCAGUGAAAAGCGUUUAAACGCUUUUCAUUUUAGGUCAUUUUUUUACAAUUUGAAUAAUCAUUCUGGAAAGACGAAGUGCGCGAAUGAUCUGAAAUUUUGCACAUAGAUUAGUGUUUUUUUUUUACCUAAAUCAAAUGGUACAUUUUUCUGGAAAAAAUAUUUUCAGUCUCAUCAUGUCUAAAAAGCUUGGUGGAGUCCCUUUAUGACAGGGUCUUUCAAAUAGAAUGGUCUGGAGUCAGACGAAUUUUACUAAAAGAUGUCUCAGUUGUGUCACAUGAUUAGGUUAUCUACCAGCUGUGAUCUGGCAUAGUAUAUCACCCUUCAAAAUUAAAACAAUUAGAUAAAUCGAUAAAAAAUUACUGAAAAAAAACUAAUCUUGGCUAUAUUACAUUAUCAGUUUUUUUUUCUUUGAAAAGUAACAAUUUAUUAUAUUUGAAAUAAAAUUAGGAAAUCUACAAACCAUGAUCUGGAUAGUGCAUCAAUAUUCAAAAUUAUGAGAUAAAUUGAUAAAAGGUUACUGAAAACUAAUUUUGGCUACAUUACAGUAUCAGUUUUUACUUUAAAAAGUAAAAAUUCUAGAUUUGAUUUUUCCAUUUCCAGUGUCAAGGUAUCAAUCUACUGCUUAUAUUUGAAAAUAGGUCCAAGUUUCAUAAAAAAAUUUAAUUAUGCAUUGUUCAAUGGAAAAAUAGAAAUUGAUUUUACGAAGAAAAAAUGUUAUUUAAUCGUAUUAUGUAAAGAUGAUUUUAUAAUAUUUCAUGACGUUAUUCACAAAUAUUUGAUCAUUUUCAAAAAUUGGGCCGUUUGUUGGCAAAUAUCCUUUUCUUGAACACUUACAUAAUUUGCGUAUAGAAGACUAUACUGAGGUAUACCAAUACAUGUUAUUGUUAUAUUGUGGCGAGAAGGAUUUACAUAGCGCGUUUCCAGACCAUUCUAUUUUAAGAUAAAAAUAUAUCAUUGGUUAUGAUGACUCAACAAGUUAUAUGACCAAGAUAAAAUGGCUGUAAUUUAAUAUAUAACCGAUGCUUUCGGGUUAUAUAGCUAACAGUUUUUAUAAAUGACCGUAUUAACUUUCAGAAGUCUUUAAGGAAUUUACAAAAUUAAACAAAUGCCUCCUUGGUUUAAUAAAGAGAGCUGAAAAAAGUAUCUUAAACUUUCAGCAGAUGUGUGCUUAAGUGAUGUAAAGGUAAUAUUAAAAAUCAACACUGCCAGUAUUGUUAGAGUUUUUAUCAUUUACAAUUGACUGUAUAUCUGUAACAUUUCUCCAUAGUAUACUUAUGUCCCUUGCAUGCAAGAAAAUAAAAAAACUUUAUAAGUCUGUUCAGAUGUGUCCAUAAUAGGUUGAUCUGUAAAUUUGUACAUAAUAUAUUAAUGUAUUGCUAAUCCAUGUUUUAGUCAGAUUUGAUGUUGUUUUAUUUUCCGCUCAAGUAUAUACAGAUGUUUAUAUUAUCUAUAAGUUCUAAAUACUUUUUUUGUGUGUUUGAGGUACUGUGUAUCUCAUUGUCAAACUACUUUGUUUAUAUGCAUGUACAUAAUUUAUAUUCAGUGAUCAGAAAAUGACAUGUAUAUUACUUACCUAUGUAUAUGUAAUAAAGAAAAUUACAUACAUUCAGGUAACACAAUAAGGAUACAUCCAGAAGGAUGGGAUAUUGUCAUGCUACUAUGACGUGAAAUAUGGCGAAUUAGGGUCAUCAUGGCCUCUUACUUUAAGAGAUGUUUUUUUUGUGUGUAUAUGUAUAUAGUUUCCUUAGUAUGAUUUUGGAUAAGUUUUUUUGUAUUAUGUGUACAUAUUUCAAUAUAGCGCCUGUUCUCUAAAACCACAAUCAUAUCAGUAAUAAUACUCUAAUACAACAAAGUUGUAAAGAUUGUAAUAAUUACUUAUACUUGGUUCAUAUGGGACGCCAUGACCGUCUUGUUACUUUUAUGAUUUGUGUAUACAUGUAUAUAGUUUACUUAGUGGAAUUUUGUAUAAUUUACAAAGAUAAGUAUUUUUGUAUUUUAUGUAUAGGGCUCGUUUUCUAUAAAACAAUCAUUAAUUUUACUCUCAUACAAGAAAGGUUUAAGAAGGUAAUUAUUCAACAAUCACCUUAGUUUUCUCUCAUGCCUUUUCAUAUUAAGUUUUGUCCCUCCAAGGUUAAUUUUUUAAAGUGUUGAAGUGAAGAACUUGAAAAUUCAUAGAUAGAUAAAUCUCAUUAAGAAAACUGCAGUGAACUAUAAAAAUCAUACCCUCUUAUAACACAUUUUAGACAUAAAAGCCCUUUAAAAAAUGCAAUGCUUAUUUUUUCGUUUCGAACCUUUGAGGUAAAUUGCUGUCUUGUGCACAUUUUUAGAGUUAUUGCCCAUAAGGCUUUAUAAAUGUCCAUUUUUCAUUUAUUGCCGGGACUGUACUCUUACACAAUUAAAUGUAUCUACAUGACGUUUUUGGUAGUUCUAAAUAUCUGAUUGAUGUACAAUGUAUAUGCAAUGUGUAAAUUUUGUAUUAUUCACCUUUUUAACAGUUUAUACUAAAUUUUCAUGUAGAGCAUACCUUUAAAGGCACAUUAUGCCUUGGAAAUCUGUUUUUAUUCAACUCAUUAAAAAUGUCAAAAAUGUGUUUAAUAAUGUCUUUAUAAUGGAUUUAGAACAUGUUAGAUGUUUAACAGCUAGUGAAAGUAGCACUGAAUGUGCAGUUAUAUGUCUUAAAGUUAACAAAAUGUAAACAAAAGUAGUAGUUUUCCUUUCAUACAAAAUCAUAAUUCACUACAAUUAAACCAAUUUCCAACAAAGCAGCUCGAUCAAAGAUGGUUUAAUUUUAUGACGAAUGAGUUUUUUUUUUUGAAAACUGUAACAAGAUACUAAACAUAAAGUUAAAGAAAAAAAGAUUUCUGAGGCAUAAUAGGCCUUAAAGUCCAUAUCAAGUUGAACAUGAAAUAUCAUAUUAUCCUUCUCACAAAACGGCUUUCAAAGUCAUUGCAACUUAUUUGCAAAAGAAGAGAGGCUUUUGUAAAACUAUUUAAAGAUUUAUAUUGACAUGUAAUGAUGAAAAUUUAUAAUGAUUUUAUUUUAAUUGAUGAAAUGUUGGUUAAAGACCAAUUAUACAUCAGAAAUGCUAUCAUUUUAUUUCUUAUUUUCAUCAAUCUGAUAUUUACAACAGAUUUGACCUUUUUACAAGUUUUAAAAAAUGUUAGAAUUACAAUAUUACUGAUUUACUGUUUUACAUAUUAUUAAGUAAAGGGCGAUAAAUAUGAAAAAGUAUGUUUUGUUAUAUAUAUUAUAAUAAUAAUACUGUCAGUACUGAUUACAAGUAUGAUAUGUUUACAGAAAUCUUACUUUUUAUAAAUUAAUGUUCUAUACAUGUAGAUUAUAUCAUAGUUCAUAUAUUUAAUAAAAAUAAAAUUAUGAAACAACA